CAAACAGCAGUACCGAUGGUCGGACAAGAGAGAAAUAGGGCCCCACCAAACAGAGAAAAAUAGAGCAUCCAUUCUUGGUGAGUUUUUCGACGAACCCGAUGGCCGAUGGCCAUGCAUGAUGGUAUGGGAAGGAGGGGAAGGAAGAGAGAAAGGAGAUGUGGGGCUUACCUCAGACUCCGACGGUGUUUUCGGCUCCAAUUUCUGGUGAGCACAGGUUUAAGAAGAUCAGUAAAAUGGAGAAGAAAGAGGGAGGAAGA
rnacentral:lncRNA from 1 species